rnacentral:rRNA from 1 species
CCUACGGGGGGCAGCAGUGCGGAAUAUUGGUCCAUGGGCGAGAGCCUGAACCAGCCAAGUCGCGUGAAGGAUGAAGGAUCUAUGGUUUGUAAACUUCUUUUAUAUGGGAAUAAAGUGAGGAACGUGUUCCUUUUUGUAUGUACCAUAUGAAUAAGCAUCGGCGAACUCCGUGCCAGCAGCCGCGGUAAUACUGAGGAUGCGAGCGUUAUCCGGAUUUAUUGGGUUUAAAGGGUGCGUAGGUGGUUAAUUAAGUCAGCGGUGAAAGGUUGUGGCUCAACCAUAAAAUUGCCGUUGAAACUGGUUGACUUGCGUAUAUUUGAGGUAGGCGGAAUGCGUGGUGUAGCUGUGAAAUGCAUAGAUAUCACGCAGAACUCCGAUUGCGAAGGCAGCUUACUAAACUAUAACUGACACUGAAGCACGAAAGCGUGGGGAUCAAACAGGAUUAGAUACCCCUGUAGUC